ACAAGCGGUGGAGUAUGUUGUUCAAUUCGAAGAUACACGAAGAACCUUACCAGGUCUUGACAUACCAUUGACAGGCGCAGAGAUGUGCUCUCCUUCGGGCAAUGGAUACAGGUGGUGCAUGGUUGUCGUCAGCUCGUGCCGUGAGGUGUUGGGUUAAGUCCCGCAACGAGCGCAACCCUUAUCUUUAAUUGCCAGCAUUCAGUUGGGCACUUUAAAGAGACUGCCGGUGUUAAACCGGAGGAAGGUGGGGAUGACGUCAAGUCCUCAUGGCCUUUAUGUCUAGGGCUACACACGUGCUACAAUGGGUGGUACAAAGAGCAGCUAACUCGCGAGAGUAUGCAAAUCUCAAAAAGCCAUCCUCAGUUCGGAUUGGAGUCUGCAACUCGACUCCAUGAAGUUGGAAUCGCUAGUAAUCGCGGAUCAGCAUGCCGCGGUCGAAUACGUUCCCGGGCCUU
rnacentral:rRNA from 1 species